GUCGAGAAUUUUUCACAAUGGGCGAAAGCCUGAUGGAGCGACGCCGCGUGGGGGAUGAAUGGCUUCGGCCCGUAAACCCCUGUCAUUUGCGAGCAAAGCCUGCGCGAUAAUACCGCGCAGGUUGAUAGUAGCGAAAGAGGAAGGGACGGCUAACUCUGUGCCAGCAGCCGCGGUAAUACAGAGGUCCCAAGCGUUGUUCGGAUUCACUGGGCGUAAAGGGUGCGUAGGUGGCAAGGUAAGUUUGAUGUGAAAUCUCUGGGCCCAACCCGGAAACGGCAUUGAAUACUACCUGGCUCGAGAGUUGGAUGGGGGACUGGAAUUCUCGGUGUAGCAGUGAAAUGCGUAGAUAUCGAGAGGAACACCGGUGGCGAAGGCGAGUCCCUGGACAAUAUCUGACACUGAGGCACGAAAGCUAGGGGAGCAAACAGGAUUAGAUACCCGUGUAGUCC
rnacentral:rRNA from 1 species